rnacentral:lncRNA from 1 species
UGCUUGGGGCGCAGAAAUGUGGAAAAUCGUAGCAGCUCUCUGUCACUUGCGCAUGAUGCGCAGAAAUUGGCACCUGGGGCGCAGAAUGAGCCUAUGGGCGCAGCAGACUGCGCCCGAGGCGCAGAACGAGCAUAUGGGCGCAGAUCUGGCAGACAGUGCUAUAAAAAAGCUGCUCUUGCAUCAGGAAAGAGGUUACACAAUUUGGGAAUGAAAUUGGUGAUAGUUUGAAGCAUUGGAACUCAAAGCAAGGGGUCUGACUCCAAGAUUGAAGUGAAGAAACAAGAUCCAUUACCAUGAUUCUUCCUUCAUCACUCAUUGUAAUCUCUAGUUUCUUCAUUAUGGAUUGCUAAACUCUUAUGAUUGGAUCUUGAGGGGACUCUACUCUACCUUAAUUGAACCAUGUAAACAUUUGAUUCUCUCUAUAUGAAUUUGGUAGUAGUUUCAUUUGAUUAUUCCUUGUGUUUAAUGC